rnacentral:rRNA from 1 species
UAUAAGUAUAAACGCUUUAAGCGUGAAACCGCGAACGGCUCAUUACAACAGCUAUAAUUUACUUGAUCUUGACAAACUUACAUGGAUAACUGAGGUAAUUCUUGAGCUAAUACAUGCACCAAAGCUUUGACCGUAAGGGAAGAGCGCAUUUAUUAGAACAAAACCAAACGGCUUCGGCUGUUCCCAGUUGAAUCAGAAUAACUCAGCUGAUCGUACGGUCUUGCACCGACGACGUGUCUUUCAAGUAUCUGCUUCAUCAACUUUCGAUGGUAGGGUAUCUGCCUACCAUGGUGGUGACGGAUAACGGAGGAUCAGGGUUCGACUCCGGAGAAGGGGCCUGAGAAAUGGCCACUACGUCUAAGGAUGGCAGCAGGCGCGCAAAUUACCCACUCUCAGAAUUUGGAGGAGGUAGUGACGAGAAAUAACGAGGUUGAUCUCUUCUGAGGCUAACCAUCGGAAUGGGUACAAUUUAAACCCUUUAACGAGUAUCUAUGAGAGGGCAAGUCUGGUGCCAG